CUGGUCCCUUAAACUGAUGAAUAGUUAGCCUGGUCCCUUAAACUGGUCCCUUAAACUGAUGAAUAGUUAGUCUGGUCCCUUAAACUGAUGAAUAGUUAGCCUGGUCCCUUAAUAAACUGAUGAAUAGUUAGCCUGGUCCCUUAAUAAACUGAUGAGUAGUUAGCCUGGUACCUUAAACUGAUGAAUAGUUAGCCUGGUACCUUAAACUGAUGAAUAGUUAGCCUGGUCCCUUAAACUGAUGAAUAGUUAGUCUGGUCCCUUAAUCUGAUGAAUAGUUAGCCUGGUACCUUAAACUGAUGAAUAGUUAGCCUGGUCCCUUAAACUGAUGAAUAGUUAGUCUGGUCCCUUAAUCUGAUGAAUAGUUAGCCUGGUACCUUAAUAAACUGAUGAAUAGUUAGCCUGGUCCCUUAAACUGAUGAAUAGUUAGUCUGGUCCUUUAAACUGAUGAAUAGUUAGCCUGGUCCCUUAAACUGAUGAAUAGUUAGCCUGGUCCCUUAAACUGAUGAAUAGUUAGCCUGGUACCUUAAUAAACUGAUGAAUAGUUAGCCUGGUCCCUUAAACUGAUGAAUAGUUAGCCUGGUCCCGUAAACUGAUGAAUAGUUAGCCUGGUACCUUAAACUGAUGAAUAGUUAGCCUGGUCCCUUAAACUGAUGAAUAGUUAGCCUGGUCCCUUAAACUGAUGAAUAGUUAGCCUGGUACCUUAAUAAACUGAUGAAUAGUUAGCCUGGUCCCUUAAACUGAUGAAUAGUUAGCCUGGUACCUUAAACUGAUGAAUAGUUAGCCUGGUCCCUUAAACUGAUGAAUAGUUAGCCUGGUACCUUAAACUGAUGAAUAGUUAGCCUGGUCCCUUAAACUGGUCCCUUAAACUGAUGAAUAGUUAGUCUGGUCCCUUAAACUGGUCCCUUAAACUGAUGAAUAGUUAGCCUGGUACCUUAAUAAACUGAUGAAUAGUUAGCCUGGUCCCUUAAACUGAUGAAUAGUUAGCCUGGUACCUUAAACUGAUGAAUAGUUAGCCUGGUCCCUUAAACUGAUGAAUAGUUAGCCUGGUACCUUAAACUGAUGAAUAGUUAGCCUGGUCCCUUAAACUGGUCCCUUAAACUGAUGAAUAGUUAGCCUGGUCCCUUAAACUGGUCCCUUAAACUGAUGAAUAGUUAGCCUGGUCCCUUAAACUGGUCCCUUAAACUGAUGAAUAGUUAGUCUGGUCCCUUAAACUGAUGAAUAGUUAGCCUGGUCCCUUAAACUGAUGAAUAGUUAGUCUGGUCCCUUAAACUGAUGAAUAGUUAGCCUGGUCCCUUAAACUGAUGAAUAGUUAGCCUGGUCCCUUAAACUGAUGAAUAGUUAGCCUGGUCCCGUAAACUGAUGAAUAGUUAGCCUGGUCCCUUAAACUGAUGAAUAGUUAGCCUGGUCCCUUAAACUGAUGAAUAGUUAGCCUGGUCCUUUAAACUGAUGAAUAGUUAGCCUGGUCCCUUAAACUGAUGAAUAGUUAGUCUGGUCCCUUAAACUGAUGAAUAGUUAGCCUGGUCCCUUAAACUGAUGAAUAGUUAGCCUGGUCCCUUAAACUGAUGAAUAGUUAGCCUGGUCCCUUAAACUGAUGAAUAGUUAGCCUGGUCCCUUAAACUGAUGAAUAGUUAGCCUGGUCCCGUAAACUGAUGAAUAGUUAGCCUGGUCCCUUAAACUGAUGAAUAGUUAGCCUGGUCCCUUAAACUGAUGAAUAGUUAGCCUGGUCCUUUAAACUGAUGAAUAGUUAGCCUGGUCCCUUAAACUGAUGAAUAGUUAGCCUGGUCCCUUAAACUGAUGAAUAGUUAGCCUGGUCCUUUAAACUGAUGAAUAGUUAGCCUGGUCCCUUAAACUGAUGAAUAGUUAGCCUGGUCCCGUAAACUGAUGAAUAGUUAGCCUGGUACCUUAAACUGAUGAAUAGUUAGCCUGGUCCCUUAAACUGAUGAAUAGUUAGCCUGGUCCCUUAAACUGAUGAAUAGAUAGCCUGGUCCCGUAAACUGAUGAAUAGUUAGCCUGGUCCUUUAAACUGAUGAAUAGUUAGCCUGGUCCCGUAAACUGAUGAAUAGUUAGCCUGGUCCCUUAAACUGAUGAAUAGUUAGCCUGGUCCUUUAAACUGAUGAAUAGUUAGCCUGGUCCCUUAAACUGAUGAAGAGUUAGCCUGGUCCCUUCAACUGAUGAAUAGUUAGCCUGGUCCCGUAAACUGGUCCCUUAAACUGAUGAAUAGUUAGCCUGGUCCCUUAAACUGAUGAAUAGUUAGCCUGGUCCCUUAAACUGAUGAAUAGUUAGCCUGGUCCCUUAAACUGAUGAAUAGUUAGCCUGGUCCCGUAAACUGGUCCCUUAAACUGAUGAAUAGUUAGCCUGGUCCCUUAAACUGAUGAAUAGUUAGCCUGGUACCUUAAACUGAUGAAUAGUUAGCCUGGUCCCUUAAACUGAUGAAUAGUUAGCCUGGUCCCUUAAACUGAUGAAUAGUUAGCCUGGUCCCUUAAACUGAUGAAUAGUUAGCCUGGUCCCUUAAACUGAUGAAUAGUUAGCCUGGUCCCUUAAACUGAUGAAUAGUUAGCCUGGUCCCGUAAACUGAUGAAUAGUUAGCCUGGUCCCGUAAACUGAUGAAUAGUUAGCCUGGUCCCUUAAACUGGUCCCUUAAACUGAUGAAUAGUUAGCCUGGUACCUUAAACUGAUGAAUAGUUAGCCUGGUCCCUUAAACUGAUGAAUAGUUAGCCUGGUCCCUUAAACUGAUGAAUAGUUAGUCUGGUCCCUUAAACUGAUGAAUAGUUAGCCUGGUCCCUUAAACUGAUGAAUAGUUAGCCUGGUCCCGUAAACUGAUGAAUAGUUAGCCUGGUCCCAGGUCAGUUUGUGCUGCCUUGCCAACUCCUUUCUUACCAACUGGUAUUUUGCAAUACAGCACAAACAGAUCUGGGACCAGGCUAAUGAACAGUCUGUAUUCAAAUCUAAGUAAAUGUUGUGAUGUCUUCCGGUCUACGCAGCUCGUUGACUGUAACAUUAACGUUUCAGCACCUCUCCCCAUUUCUUCUGGUCCUCCUCUCUCUCCUGGAGCUUGGCCUGGUGGGCAGAGUAGACUAUGCCCAGGAUGAGGCUCUCAAAGUGAGGUGCAGCCAGAGGGAGAGCCCCUCUCUGGUCCUCCAGGUCCCUCACCAUCUGCUCCAUGGAAGAGAGGGUCUUGGGGAUGUUGUCGUUGAUGCGAGCCAGGAAGGCCCGUCCCUGCCUCAUAGAUGCCAUCUCCAGGUCCAGCAAGAUGAUGUUGUUGUCUUUGUCGAUCUCUACUCCACCCAACAAGAACUGUACGGAGAGGAAAGAAACUAACGAUCAGUGAAAUAUGGGUUGGCAUCACUGAGGGAUUGGCCCUGGGUAGGAAGAUCUCCAUGUUCGGCACCAGACAUCAGGUUGGCAUCACUGAGGGAUUGGCCCUGGGUAGGAAGAUCUCCAUGUUCGGCACCAGACAUCAGGUUGGCAUCACUGAGGGAUUGGCCCUGGGUAGGAAGAUCUCCAUGUUCGGCACCAGACAUCAGGUUGGCAUCACUGAGGGAUUGGCCCUGGGUAGGAAGGUCUCCAUGUUCGGCACCAGACACGUCUGAGAGAGAAAACUGUUGUAACACUCAGGACUAUUGCAUGUGAACAUUUGUAUAUGGAUAAAGAUUUUGAAACUGAA